rnacentral:rRNA from 1 species
UUACGGCCAUACUAUGUGGAAACGCCGGUUUUCUUACGAUCACCAAAGUUAAGCAACGUCGACCCUGUCUAGUACCUAUAUGGGUGUCCGCUUGGGAAACCAGAUGCUGUAAU